rnacentral:rRNA from 1 species
CAGACUCCUACGGGAGGCAGCAGUGGUUAAUAUUUGACAAUGGGCGCAAGCCUGAUGCGGCCAUGCCGCGUGUAUGAAGAACGCCUUCGGGUUGUAAAGCACUUUUGAUGAGGAAGAAAUCGAUAUGGCUAAUACCCUUUUGCAUUGACGUUACCCUAAGAACAAGCACCGGCUAACUCCGUGCCAGCAGCCGCGGUAAUAC